rnacentral:tRNA from 1 species
GCCGCGGUAGCUCAAUUGGUAGAGCAUCGCACGCAUAAUGCUAUGGCGUGGGAUCGUUCCCCACCUGCGGCA